GACGAACGCUGGCGGCGUGCCUAACACAUGCAAGUCGAGCGGAGGCGCAGAAGGAGUAAUCCGGAAGCGCUUUAGCGGCGGACGGGUGAGUAACGCGUGAGCUACCUACCUUUCACAGGGGGGAUAACGGAGGGAAACCUUCACUAAUACCGCAUAAGACCACAACACCGCAUGGUGAUGGGGUCAAAGGAGCAAUCCGGUGGAAGAUGGGCUCGCGUCCUAUUAGAUAGUUGGUGGGGUAAUGGCUCACCAAGGCGACGAUCCGUAGCUGGUCUGAGAGGAUGACCAGCCACACUGGGACUGAGACACGGCCCAGACUCCUACGGGUGGCAG
rnacentral:rRNA from 1 species